UUUAUUUCGAGUUUCGUUGCUGUAAUAUGUUUUCUUUGAUUUAAUAAUGGUCAAAUCUCCAAAAUAGCAUAUUUCUAAGUUUAUAUCACAAAAAUAGCACUCAAAAACUAAAAUGACCAAAAUAGAACCUUUCUAAGUUUAUCCUUUGAAAAUUUUAAUUUUUUUAUUUUUCAAAAUUUGAAAUCUUAUCCCCAAAACCUCAUUUCUCAACUCUAAACCCUAAACCGUAAACUCUAAACCCUAAACCCUAAACCCUAAACUCUAAACCCUAAACCCUAAACUCUAAACCCUAAACCAUAAACCCUAAAUCCUAAACCCCACUCUUUAACCCUUUAACUCUAAACCCUAAGUUUGUGACUUUUGAUAAAACAUUAAGUGCUAUUUUUGUGACUUUUGACCUUGAGUGCUAGUUUAGGAAC
rnacentral:lncRNA from 1 species